UACGGAGGGUGCAAGCGUUAAUCGGAAUUACUGGGCGUAAAGCGCGCGUAGGUGGUUUGGUAAGCGAGAUGUGAAAGCCCCGGGCUUAACCUGGGAACGGCAUUUCGAACUGUCAGGCUAGAGUGUGGUAGAGGGUAGUGGAAUUUCCUGUGUAGCGGUGAAAUGCGUAGAUAUAGGAAGGAACACCAGUGGCGAAGGCGGCUACCUGGACCAACACUGACACUGAGGUGCGAAAGCGUGGGGAGCAAACAGG
rnacentral:rRNA from 1 species